rnacentral:lncRNA from 1 species
ACCAGAGCUCCACGGAUUGCCAUUUUGCGUAGUAGUUUGCCCGUCCUGGAUGCGCAGCGGUGCGUGGAGCUCUGGAUUGCUGGGAAUCUGUGAAAAUAACAAGCCCAUGGUUGGUUCAACUCCAUGGCUGGCGAUCAUCGAAAUCUUCUGCAACGGUUGUUUAUGUACGCUAGGCGACUGAAGACAGUAUUUUUGGUUGGUGUAUAAAUUUCUUCCUUGUUAGUAUUCAUGUUCUCUGUUCUUCCGCUUCCCAAUCGUUCUGGCUGAAUAAAAUUGAUAUUCGUAAGCUUUCCAAAACCAUCUUCAGCUUUGAAAUCUCGAGAUAUGUUUAUUAAAUGCGAGAUAACUCCGUACUCAGAUAGCCAUCAACCUGCAGGGCAGAAGCUAAUCUCAGAUGAAUGGGUUUGGGCAACGAUGAAGAGGACUGUGGCCGCAAUGGUAAGUCAGCAUCAACAUCUGUUGGGUUCGUCUUCCGAAAAUAUAAUAGAUUACUGGAAAGCAUGAAAAAAUUGGGCUCAGCCAAAACAUAGCAUGAUUAUACAGUUCAAUGCAUAUGAUUUUCUAUGAUUUAUUUUUUCAUACCCUUAUGAUUGAGUUGCAUUUAAGUCUUUGUCCUCCAGAAAUGAUUUGGAGUGGAUCUUGGGUCCUCAAGUGCUGAUAGUUGUGGCUCCCCAUUCCCCCUAAAAAUCAGAAUUUUAUGAUUUUAUUGGUUCUCUGAAUGAUCUGCAAGCCAGUCAAGCCGAAGAACAUUUUCUUACGCUUGCACGUUGCCUGACGUAUAAAAUUCCCCAAUCAGCAAGCAUGGGAGUAGUUAAAAUAAUGGCUACUCAGGAAAUAUAAAAAGGCCCUACUUUUUAUAAAGGGGAAAAAAACCCGAUGCUUCCAGGAUUACUGGCGUGUUAUGGAAGAAAAUGGUUUAAUUCCUAAUGAUCAUCAGAGACUGUUAAGGCAUGGAAUGAAUGCACUGGAAAAAUACAUCAAAGAAAUAAACUGACGAAAGGCAGAUGGUCAUACCAGUUAAAUUUAGCAAAAAUCUGCAGUUUAAACUUGCAACGCUUAGAGGUUUGGAAAAAUUCAGCUAAUGCAGCUGAAAUAUCUAUGAGAAAAGUGGAACUCAAGGGGAGGACAGAUUUUGGUAAAUAAAACCGAAAAAAAACAAGUUUAUAGGGCCACGGCAUCCUUUACCGAACUCCAAGUUCUACGAGCUGCACUCCCUCUUCCGAGAGCCUAAUAGUUAAAUCCACCAAUAUGACGCUUCUGUAAGGCAAAUAUAUCCAUUUUCAAAUACUCUUUUAGCGUUAUGAUCAUUCUGAAAAUGAAAACCUUUGGAAAUAUGAGAAUUGAGAUUUUACAGAAGGGCUAUAGAUUAUUUUGAGAAGCGAAAUUCUAGUCAUCCAGAAAUAGGAUUAUCUCUACCUGUUUCAAUCCCUCCCCAAAAGCCUAAUUAUCUAGCUCACCAAUAAGACGGCUCUAUAAUACACAAAAGUGUUAAUAUUCAAAAUUUGUUUCAGACUUCACGAUCAUUCUAAGCUAAAAAUCUUAUAAAAUCUAAAAGAAUUGAAAUGUUUCAAAAGAGCAGACUAUUGGAAAAAAAAAAAUGGUCAUCGAGAAGUAACAACAAGCACAGUGCCCAGUGAAGAUCUAGGCUAAAAUGGAGUGUUAUAAGUGAGAACGUGAGCCGUCUGCAAGAUGCUCGCAUAGUUACUCCCGAAAUCGGAUUCAAUGCGAAAAAAAUGGACCACAUUCAUACCGACGAUUUUCUUCACCAUCACGUCCCCCGAGAGCCAUCUGCCCGCAGCUACCGGCUCACCCUUCCUUCCGUUCACAAGAUUUUCGAUGUAGCUCGAACUCGAGGCCUUUGUAGGCCUUCACUUUAACCGAAGAUUAAUGAAAAGCUUAUGGACGUAACAAUUCUAAUUCAAAAGAUUCGUUUGCUCAUUUUCAGGUAAUUAACCUGCUAUUGGAUGGGGAAAAAAAUAAUCCCCUGCUCUAGAUGUUCUCGAAGAAAGAAUCAGAUCAUGGAAUGAACAAAUUGAAAAGGAAUGCUUACCUAAAAUGUAAGUCAUCGCCAGUAACUUCCCACUGUCCAUGGGCUUCCUACCUUCGUUCCUGAUCUGGCCGUUCGACGUAUGAAGCUGACAGAACCACCACGAGUCUCAUGUAGUCCCCGCCAAAUCCUCCACAGAUCUGGACUGCGGAUUUCCGAAGCCCUAUCAUCGAUCUUCCCAUGAUCCGCACAACGGAGAGCAGGGGCGAGUCGCCGGAACGGGAAAAAAAUAACGUGCUCCUCAAUGUCCGCCGCUCGCCAGCUCCAUCAACGAUUACCGUCAUAGCCGGUGGUCUCCUCGUGAGAGCCAUGUCUCCUCUGAGAAUUGUGUACGGGACCCCUCCGGAGGCAUCACCGUGGCGGACAAACUCCGUGCGAAUAUCGCCUCCUGCGUGGGAGUGGCUGCUCUACGCUCAGCGCGG